rnacentral:lncRNA from 1 species
CCCAAUGGUAAAUUAAUUUAGACAUUAUGGUGUAGAGUUAAGGGGUGGGGUUUAGGAUUUAGGGUUUAGGGUUUAAAUUUUAGGGUUUAGGGUUUAGGGUUUAGAGUUUAGGGGUGGGGUUUAGAAUUUAGGGUUUAGAGUUAAGGGGUGGGGUUUAGGAUUUAGGGUUUAAUGUUUAGGAUUUAGGGUUUAGGGUUUAGAGUUUAGGGUUUAGGGUUUAGAGUUUAGGGUUUAGGGUUUAGAGUUUAGGGUUUAGGUUUUAGGGUUUAGCGUUGGGGAGUGGGGUUUUGGAAUAAGAUUUCAAAUUUUGAAAAAUAAAAAAAAUUUAAAUUUUUCAAAAGAUAAAAGAGAAAAAGACAAAAAUAACACUAAAUCAAGUUUUUGUUCUCAAACUAGCACUCAAGGUCAAAAGUCACAAAAAUAGCACUUAAUGUUUUAUCAAAAGUCACAAACUUAGGAUUUAGAGUUAAAGGGUGGGGUUUAGGAUUUAGGGUUUAGGGUUUAGGGUUUAGAGUUUAGGGUUUAGGGUUUAGAUUUUAGGGUUUAGGGUUUAGGGUUUAGGGUUUAGGGUUUAGAGUUUAGGGUUUAGGGUUUAUGGUUUAGGGUUUAGAGUUUAGGGUUUAGGGUUUAGAGUUUAGGGUUUAGGGUUUAGAGUUUAGGGUUUAGGGUUUAUGGUUUAGGGUUUAGAGUUUAGGGUUUAGGGUUUAGAGUUGAGAAAUGAGGUUUUGGGGAUAAGAUUUCAAAUUUUGAAAAAUAAAAAAAUUAAAAUUUUCAAAGGAUAAACUUAGAAAGGUGCUAUUUUGGUCAUUUUAGUUUUUGAGUGCUAUUUUUGUGAUAUAAACUUAGAAAUGUGCUAUUUUGGAGAUUUGCCCAAGAUAAAAUGCUAUUUUGGUCAAUUUAGUUUUUGAGGGCUAUUUUUGUGAUAUAAACUUAGAAAUGUGUUAUUUUGGAGAUCUGCACUUUUUAAAAUAGUAAAGGGUGUUUUAAAGUAAACUUAAACGAAUAUAGACGGGUCUAGGCGGAUAAUAGAUGGACAGAACUUAGGUUUACCCCCUAGGGUGAACCUUUAAAUUCACCUCACUUUUUAGAACCAAUCAAAGUGACACAUAGAUUAUUAAUUAAAAAAUAUUAAAAUUAAAUAAAAAAUAGCUACAAAAAAUAAAAACGCUAAUUUUAACGACGCUAACGCUUCCAGCUAAACCCUAAACCCUAAACCCUAAACCCUAAAUCUUAAAUUUUAAAUCCUAUACCCUAAAUUCUAAACCCAAAUCCAAACCCCUAAACCCAAACCCUAUACCCUAAACUCUAAUCCUAGAUCCUAAACCCAAAUUAUAUACCCUAAACCCAAAAACUAGACUAUAAACCUAAACUCUAUAUCCUAAACCCAAAUCCUAGACCUUAAACCCAAACCGUAAAUUUUAAACCCAAAUUAUAUACCCUAAACCCAAAACCUUAACCAUAAGUCCAAACGGUAAAUCCUAAACCCAAACUGUAAACCCUAAACCCAAAACCUAUACCCUAAACCCAAAUCCUAAACCUAAAACCCAAACGGUAAACCCUAAACCCAAACCCCAAACUUAGAUGCUAUAGGGUUUGGGUUUAGGGUCUAAGACUUUGGUUUAGGGUAUAGGGUUUAGGUUUAU